rnacentral:rRNA from 1 species
GAACGGGUGAGUAAUACGUAGAUAACCUGCCUUCAAGUUUGGAAUACCCAGAGGAAACUUUGGUUAAUACCGAAUAUGAACAAGAGAGGCAUCUCUUUUGUUUGAAAGGGGCUCCAAAGCCCCGCCUGAAGAUGGAUCUACGGCGCAUUAGCUAGUUGGUGAGAUAACAGCUCACCAAGGCGAGGAUGCGUAGCCGGCCUGAGAGGGUGAACGGCCACACUGGAACUGAGACACGGUCCAGACUCCUACGGGAGGCAGCAGUAGGGAGUUUUCGGCAAUGGGGGAAACCCUGACCGAGCAACGCCGCGUGAGUGAUGAAGGUCCUAUGGAUUGUAAAGCUCUGUUGUAAGGAAUAAAUGGCUAGGGGAGGAAAUGCCCUUAGUUUGAUAGUACCUUACCAGAAAGCCACGGCUAACUACGUGCCAGCAGCCGCGGUAAUACGUAGGUGGCAAGCGUUAUCCGGAAUUAUUGGGCGUAAAG